GGGUAUUCAGAAGACUUGUAGUCUGGGCUACACGCGGAGGACCUGGUUCCUCUCCUCGCCCAGGGGAAAGUCCCCGGACAUGAGGCAGAAAGUGCUCUGGGUAAAUCCAGCGUCGGUCGGAGCUCAUCGUCACCUUCAGCGGAGACGCUCAUGUGUGAGCAGAGCUGGGCGAUAUCCGACCGACUUUGUCAGCAGCGAUAGUCAUGCAAGUGCACAACACAACGGGGCUCAUUCUCUGAAUGCC
ensembl:ribozyme RNase_MRP RNase MRP